CGUAGUCUCCAACAGCCCCAGCUUUUCAUUUGUCACCUGCAAGUCGUUAUCAAGUCCCUCUGUAUGCAGCUUCACUUUCCUUUCAAAAUGUUGUAUGAUGCCCUUAGUGCGAGGUGUAAGUGGUGUUUCGUUACCAUCAUCUGCCCCUGGCAUGGUUCAAAGACAAAGACAACAAAAAGGCAAGUGAAGAAAUAAAAGCCCUACAACUACUAGGAUGUAGCUACAGCAAGUCGCUCACACUCAACCUGUAACACAAGUUCUUACCAAUUCUUACCUUGCUUGACAGGAGGGGUCGUCUGCCAACAAGUGUACAGUAAUGGACGAAGUGUAGCGGUGCUGCAGCACAAGACCUGUCAAGCUGUAGAGUAUGUGGAGCUAUAGGUGGGCUGAAACAAGGAACGAACUAGCACCACGUUAGUUAUAAAAGCGAGCUGAAUAAACGCUCAACGGUGGUACUGUGCUGGUCCUAGCCUAGACCGUGCUAGAGACGCGAGCCUGGACACAAAGGGAAAACACAGCACACCACUAGAAACAAAAUGAGCAGCCCUACUGGAAACAAAAGGAACAACAAUCCCAUUUUUUUGAUUUUUUUUUCUUUUUUUCUUUCUUUCUUUUUUUUUCUUUAUUUUUUUUCUUUCUCUUUUUUUUUGGGGAACCUCAAAACCUGAUUAUAUAAACAAAAUAGUACAAAAUAUCACUUCACCACUCUCACCCUCUCACUAGAGUAAGGCUGAACCUCAAAAUUCAAUAUAUCUAGCACAAGUAUGAAGUGCUAUCUUUCCUUUUGGAUCACGUUGAUGGAAACGCAGAAUAGACCAACAAGUGGCUGCACCUAGUAUCAAGAUCUACUCAAAUUCCAACCCACAAUAGAUUGGACGUAGUUGUGACUAGAUGGUGACAAGAACUCAAAACUCUAAAGGACUAAACUAAAACCAGCACUGGACACGACCGAAGCAAACACUCAUUCAACCAGCCCUAACUAAGUAGUACUAGCCACGGCACAAAGGAUUUAUAGGAUUAUGGAAAACAAAUAUGCUAUAUUUUUUGUCUUUUUUUUGGACUAUAGAAAAAAUAAACACGAAGAAUUAGAAAUCUCUCACCGAUAAUCCUUGCUCUGAUACCAACUGAUGUGAACCCACUAGGGUUUUCGUCUGAUCUUUCGAUGAAAGGCGCUGGAUAACUCGAUUGGUGGAUGGAGAUGACGUUCACGGCCCGACUACAGCCCUCAAGACUGCGCCUUAGCAACCGAUACACCGCCUCCAAUGGCUGUCACGAUCUUGUGGAGCGCAACACCCGGCCACUAGGGCACUCGUCAUGCAAGCAAUCGAAGAACCAGCAAGAACAAGUAGAACAAGUACUAAAUUACCAGAUGUAAAUGAAGGUUUCAAACUAAAUCUCUAAUGAAGUGGGGUUUCGAAAACAAGAAGACGGGCGGCU
rnacentral:lncRNA from 1 species